GACAGAGGGUGCAAACGUUGUUCGGAAUUAUUGGGCGUAAAGAGCUCGUAGGUGGUUUGUCGCGUUGUUCGUGAAAACUCACAGCUCAACUGUGGGCGUGCGGGCGAUACGGGCAGACUGGAGUACUGCAGGGGAGACUGGAAUUCCUGGUGUAGCGGUGGAAUGCGCAGAUAUCAGGAGGAACACCGGUGGCGAAGGCGGGUCUCUGGGCAGUAACUGACGCUGAGGAGCGAAAGCGUGGGGAGCGAACAGG
rnacentral:rRNA from 1 species